rnacentral:rRNA from 1 species
UACGGAGGGGGCUAGCGUUGUUCGGAAUUACUGGGCGUAAAGCGCGCGCAGGCGGCUGGUCAAGCCCGACGUGAAAGCCCCCGGCUCAACCGGGGAGGGUCGUCGGGGACUGAUCGGCUUGAGGGCGGUAGGGGCCGGUGGAAUUCCCGGUGUAGUGGUGAAAUGCGUAGAGAUCGGGAGGAACACCAGUAGCGAAGGCGGCCGGCUGGGCCGACCCUGACGCUGAGGCGCGAAGGCGUGGGGAGCGAACGGG